rnacentral:rRNA from 1 species
AUAGCGUAUAUUAAAGUUGUUGCAGUUAAAAAGCUCGUAGUUGAAUUUCGGAAUUUGUCGGUUGGUCGGGCUUCACUGUCCGCACUGGCCUGAUGGAUUCCUACCUUCUGAAUAACCAGCAUGCUAUUAAUUUAGUGCGUUGGGGAAGCAGAGCUAUUACCUUGAAAAAAUUAGAGUGCUUAAAGCAGGCUCACGCUUGAAUAGAUUAGCAUGGAAUAAUAAAAUAGGACGGCUUGGUUCUAUUUUGUUGGUUUCUAGGAUCACCGUAAUGAUUAAUAGGGAUAGUUGGGGGCAUUAGUAUUCAAUUGUCAGAGGUGAAAUUCUUGGAUUUAUUGAAGACUAACUUCUG